GAUCCUGGCUCAGGAUGAACGCUAGCGGCAGGCUUAACACAUGCAAGUCGAGGGGCAGCACGUCUUCGGAUGGUGGCGACCGGCGCACGGGUGCGUAACGCGUAUAGAACCUACCUUUUACAGGGGAAUAGCCCAGAGAAAUUUGGAUUAAUGCCCCAUAGUAUUAUUGAAUGGCAUCAUUUAAUAAUUAAACAUUUAUGGGUAAAAGAUGGCUAUGCGUUCUAUUAGCUAGUAGGUAAGGUAACGGCUUACCUAGGCAACGAUAGAUAGGGGUCCUGAGAGGGAGAUCCCCCACACUGGUACUGAGACACGGACCAGACUCCUACGGGAGGCAGCAGUGAGGAAUAUUGGACAAUGGGCGAGAGCCUGAUCCAGCCAUGCCGCGUGCAGGAAGACGGUCCUAUGGAUUGUAAACUGCUUUUAUACAGGAAGAAACACUCGGACGUGUCCGAGCUUGACGGUACUGUAUGAAUAAGCACCGGCUAACUCCGUG
rnacentral:rRNA from 1 species